UGCUUUUGGGUUUCGCUUGGUUAGUGGGCUGCGUGGCAGCAAGGGGGAGGUUUCGCUUGCCAAUUUUUCCCCAUUUUGGACAAUUUUGGAUCUCUAAUGCUGGCCAUACAAGCUGGCCCCUUUGCCUGUAAUUGUAAUUUUCCCUUCUGACCCACGUGGCGUGAUCCCCUUGAUACCUGGUGCAAAACAGAAACAUGUGUACAUCUCUCCAUCUCUCUACAUCUCCCCUUUUUCUCCGAUCUCCCUGUUGCAAACGUGCAUCUCUUUCUCUCUCAUCUCCUUCCCUAACUGAGACACCUCUCUCUCUCUCCUCCCUUAUUUUCACCGACAAACACCACCACUUCCACCUUCUUCUUCGGCGAGCGGCACCCCGCUCUGGCCACCUCCCUCUCUACCAACGAAGAGAAUAUUUUCCCAACUCCCAUGAGUGCAUCUUCUCGGACCUUCGCCGUCUCUCCCGCUCUCUCUCCUGAGAUCCUUCCAUUACGAAGCCAACUGUAACCAAACCCCAAAAUCAAAGGUUUUUCGUCACUGAAAGCGAAAUCUGGUGGGCCAGAACCAAGGCCCAGAUGGGGCGGCUUCGAUCACGAGAUUUCAGGCCAAAAAACUGUGUCAUGGGACAAGUCAAGAUCCUAAAGCCAGGCGAGGAACUGAGGCUGCCGCCGACGAAUUUGGUUCUGGGUCCCACAGAUCUGUUGGGUCUCGACUCGGACACGGUCUAGAGGUAUUUUCAUCUCUUUUUCCUUCUCCAUGUGUGUUGCAUGUGUGCUUUUAUGACUUUACCGUCACUCCGCUCGCUCCAUUACAUGUAAUUUUGUGAUGAUUUCUUGCAUUUAGGUUUCAUUGUGUGCUUUUGUGCUUCUGUGUUCGAUUUGUGUGGGUAGACUCAUUUAGGGCUACUAUUUUCAGUUGCUGAUGUUUUCCCCCUUCCUGAUUUUUGUUGCAUGUUCGCUUUUGUGGCUUUAUUCUGAAAUCGUGUAGUAUUCAUUUUCAUUUGUUGUUUUUGUGACAGAUUUUGAGGAAUUUUGAUGUCUGGUCUGGUUGGUUUGGUUGAUUUGGUGAGUGAAGUAUUAGAAAGUGAGAAGUAAGGAGUAUUAUAGUCUUGUUUGUUUGCGUGUUCAACAACUAUUAAUAUGAUAAUCCAUAUGAAGAACAAGCAGGCAUCAAACAAAAUUAAUUAUUUUUUCUUGUUAUGGUGGAACUCAUCAUCAAGAUGUCCAUUAAUUUUUUCUAGAUCUUUAUUCUUGUCUUCAUUCUAUGAGUGGACAUUCUAUGAAAUAUUACAUGCUUUCAGCCUUGAGUUUCAGUAUGUAUGUCAUUUCAUUAUUUAGGUAUGUUACACUUAACCAUAAAAUUUUGUGGAUAGGCAUUUGGAUUUGAAAUACAGACACAUAAUUCCCAAUACAAGUUAGAAACAAAAUGGAUCCCUAUUGUGUUGAUAGCCUGGUAGGAUCAUUACUUUGUGGUUAAUUCUGUUUGUGGGUAUAAUUUGGUGUAUGGAGAGGAGCUGGUCCCAUGAACCAAGCCCUUCUUUCUUUUCUUUUCCUUUCCUUUUUCUGCUGCUAUUGUUGUUUGUGAUGAUAAACGUCUCUUCUUGUUGUUGUUCCAAUCCAAGAGUGCCUAAUAAUUUUUCCUCAACUAUGACACCCUGUGAUGAUUUACAUCUCUUGAGUUCGUGUGUGUCGAGAAAAUGGGACCCAUUUCUUGGCUUGACAAGUCUGAGGGCCUGUACAUGUGGAAGAGUAGACAGAUUGGCCCUCUCUCAAUGGGGCAACUAUUUUUCCAGCCAUGGUGGUAAACACCUUUUCUUCUGCUAUCAAAAUGCAGAUCUGAUCGAUUUCUUGGCUUGGCAAGUCUGAGGGCCCGUGGGAGAGUAGACUGAUCGGUAAGCUUAUGAUGUUCUCAAUACAAGGGCAUUCUUGCAGAAAUUGUAGAAUUUGUGAUGGGAAAGGAACUUAUCCCAGCUGUGAUGGGGAGAUAUGGGGUGUUAGACGACGUGUGAUAGUCCCAAUAUUGCAUCAGAAGAUGGUGCUUUGGAUAAAGCGAGAAAAGACAAGAAGAGGCAGCUUAAAGAUACAUUGAAUCUUGUUCUUAAGAAGAGGAAGCAUGUUCAAAUUGGUACCUUGGCCAAUCAAAAACUUGCUGAAGAGGAACUAUUAGAAUACAAGGAAGAUGGAUUUUUUGCUUGUGAAAAAGACUCGAUCAUCAUUCCUACUUGUUUUAGCUUUGAUUGGAACUUGUAUGAUCCACCGAGGUGGAGUCCUUGGAGCAUUAAUUCCUGCUAUGGUGUCGUUUGGGGAAUUAUUUGUUGGUCUAGGCUUGUAGCUGGUUGGAUGUGUAGCUUCAUAGGCCAUUUUCUUUACGUCUAUUUUAAUGUGGUUGCAUUGGAUGUCCCUCUCAAUCAAUGGAAGCAUCUUUUAUCACCAGAUAAAAUAUGCAUAUGACUGGUUAUACUUCCUGAGUAAAUUUCGUGCAUUCAAUUUGUCAAA